rfam:Candidatus Roizmanbacteria bacterium RIFCSPLOWO2_01_FTLL_37_16 rifcsplowo2_01_scaffold_22123, whole genome shotgun sequence.
GCAGCGGUAGUUCAGCGGUAGAAUGUCUCCUUGCCAAGGAGAAGGUCGCCGGUUCAAAUCCGGUCCGCUGCU